rnacentral:rRNA from 1 species
AUUGAACGCUGGCGGCAUGCCUUACACAUGCAAGUCGAACGGCAGCACGGGAGCAAUCCUGGUGGCGAGUGGCGAACGGGUGAGUAAAGUAUCGGAACGUGCCCAGUCGUGGGGGAUAACGUAGCGAAAGUUACGCUAAUACCGCAUACGAUCUAGGGAUGAAAGCGGGGGAUCGCAAGACCUCGCGCGAUUGGAGCGGCCGCGUUCAGAUUAGGUAGUUGGGGGGGUAAAGGCUCAACAAGCCGACGAUCUGUAGCUGGUCUGAGAGGACGACACGCCACACUGGGACUGAGACACGGCCCAGACUCCGACGGGAGGAAGCAGUGGGGAAUUUUGGACGAUGGGCGAAAGCCUGAUCCAGCCAUGCCGCGUGCAGGAUGAAGGCCUUCGGGUUGUAAACUGCUUUUGUACGGAACGAAAAGGUUUGGCCUAAUAAGCUGAGCUCAUGACGGUACCGUAAGAAUAAGCACCGGCUAACUACGUGCCAGCAGCCGCAGUAA